AUACCAUGAUGUGGGCAUAUCCUUAACAACUCUUUGAAUCUCUCCCACCCAUCAUACAGCAAUUCCCCUUCUAUCUGGUAGAAAUUAUUAAUUUUCCCUCUUAACUUU